GGUUUUACAAGAUAGGGUUUCUCUGUGUAGACCUGGCUGUCCUGGAACUCACUUUGUAGACCAGGCUGGCCUCGAACUCAGAAAUCCACCUGCCUCUGCCUCCCAAGUGCUGGGAUUAAAGGCGUGCACAACCACGCCCGGCUCUGCUUGUGGGUUUUCUAGUCUUAUUUUAUGUGCAUCCAUUUCUUCUCCAUGUAUGUAUAUGUACCACAUGCAUGCCUGGUGCCCACGGAGGUCAGAAGAGAGCAUUGGAGCCACUGGAAUUGGAGUUAUAGACAAUUGUGAUGCACCAUGUGGGUGCUGAGACUUGAACCUGGAUCUUCUGCAAGAGCAGCCAAUGUUGUUAACCAAGGAGGCCUGGUGCCAGGCACAGGAAAAAAUAUUUAGUUGCUCAGCUUCUCACUCAGUCUCGCACACACAAAUUAUGAGAGAAAAACACAUUUCUAAUAUAAGUUCACACAGCCUUUCUUCCUGUAUAUGAGGUUUUAGGACACACGCCACUGUUGUUUUGUAUUUAGAAACAGUGCCACCACAGUCCCCCAGGCUGGCCUCCUGAGUGCUGGGUGACAGGAUGUGCUACCACACCUGACCAAUAACUAACAGUACAGUAGCAGGACAAUACAGCCACAGUUACUGACAAUCCUGAUAAAGGAGGGGAGGUUUUCUUUUGGUUGUUAUUUCUCCUUUACUGUGAUAUUUUGAUACAUGGAUUUAAAUAACAAUUAGGUCAGAGUAACUGGGAUAUCCAUUGUUUCAAACAGUUACCAUUUCUCUUUAUAAGAGCUAGCCUGCCACAUGCCCGGCUCCCUGGCCCUGACCACGACUCCCCCACCUCAGCUUCCCCAUUGCUAAGACCAGCAGCAGCAACACUUGCCUGACUGUACUCUUUACUUCUGAGAAGACCAGUCUCAGGGAGUACAAUUCCUCACUGGGAUCGCCACUGGUUAGCAGUGUUUUGCUUGCCUUUUCAUUGGGUGUUUUGAUUUGAGACAGGGUCUCCCCACAUAGCCCAGGCUGGCCCAGGACUGGCAAAUCUUCCUACUUCAGGCUCUCUGUGCUAGGAUUACAGGCACGAUCCACCACACCCAAGCUGUGCAUUUUGAACUAAAAAUACCUGGUCAGUCUAGAGCCAGCCAAUCCAAGAGCCAGCUUUAACGGGGUGUCAUCCUGCAAUAGCAAUGGAGGGGGACUAGCACCGCACUGUCCACCCAACAUGUCUGAGCUUACAUAGCGUGAUCAGAGCACCUGGCUCCCACUCUGCUACACACAGCAGGCAGGCAGACAGACAGACAGACAGAGACGCCCUUCACACUCAAAACAUCAGGGACAUUCUGAAACCUGAAGUCCCACCAGAGCUUUCUAGCUUCCCUCAUCCCAGGAAGUCCUAUAUACAGGUGUUGCAGGCCUUUAAGAUAAAUGUCACUUUCAGAUCUAGAAAUGGCUCCUGGCCAAGGCAAGCCGACUUUGACCAGCCACAUGCGGGAGCAGCCGCUCUCAGGCGCAAGUCCAGAAUGCUUACAGCUGAGCAGAUGAUCACUCUCUGAGCAUGCCCAACCCAUACAGACACACACACACCACACAUGCACACACCCACAGCGCCCACACAUCACCGAUGCACUCCAGACCUGAUAACGACUGCCAGCCAACCCUUGCAGGAUUACCCUGGGGAAUAUACACUGAGGCCACAAAGGUUUAUGUAGGUUAAGUUAGCUAGUCUCUAGGCAACCCAUACUGCCUCCCACCCCCACCUCCACAUACACAGAUAGAGAAGGUCGGCUAGGCAAGGUAUAAUGUCUUUAAUCUCAGAAUUAGGAGGGCAGAGGCAAGCAGAUCUCUGAGUCUGAGGUCAGUAUGGUCUACACAGGCCAGUUCCAGGACACCCAGGGUUACAUUGUUAGACCCUGCUAGGACAAACGGACAGAAGGGAAGAAGGGAAACAAGGUGGUAUGUGUAUGGUGUGGUUCUGUGCUCUAAUACGGACCCGGGAUGUGCUUUACAUUUUUAUACUGCACAUAAACUGUGUGCGGGGAGGGAAGUAGGCUGUAGCUCGGUUGGCAGCGUGCUCUCCUAGCACCUAAAGCCUCGAGUUUGACAACCCCCACCCAACGCCCCCAGCACCACCUAACAGGUUGUGGUGGUGCACAUGUACGACCCCAGACCUUGGGGGAUGAAAAGAGCAUGCUCGUUCUGAGAAGAGCUGAGGGAAAUUCAGGUCUCAGCAGAGAGAGCAGGGUCAGCAACCACACAGGUCACCCCCACCUGAGGCUGCAACACAAAGUCCUGCCUCUAGGGAAAGCAACAGGGCCAGAUUCCUAAACACACAUACUCAUGGACAAAAGGCACGUCAAGGCUAGCAUCUGCUUACCUGGCAGAAAGAUUUCAUCUUGUCCAGAACCCUGUUCACCUCCGGCAUCACAUCUUUGCCGUCCACCUUGAUGGGUGUGUUGGACCGGUUCCGAAGGGCCACAUGCAGCACUGCCCGAUCCUAGAAAUGAAGGAGACAAUGAGGAGCACGGUAGACCCUAGAGCUAGACUGGUCCUAGUUGGGGAAGGUCCAGUGUAAGGCAGUCCUCUGCACAGGACAAACAGGUCCAGGCAUCCAUUAACAUCACCGUCUUGUAUAGAGGGCCUGGGAGAAAAAGCCAUUCUGGGACUCUGAGGAUAGGCAAUCCUGUGCCCCCUCCCCUUCCCCCUUGUGUGCUGUGAACAGACAGAAGCAGAUACAGAAGGACCUGAACAAUCCCCUAAGGGCCUGAAGGACCCCAGGGCAUGAAAGGCCUGACUGAGGACAAGCAAUGUACAGUGGUAAGACACAGAUCAGAGAUGAGCAGCAAGCUCCUUCAGUCAUAAACUCAGCCCUCCUGAGGAGAGCGCUUCUUGUUUCUGGCACCUUCUAAAAAUGUCACAAGGCCUCAGGAUGUGAAGCAAGAGAGGGAACAGAAGCUCCCCUCACCAAACAGUCUCACCACUGCCACAAACUAAACCAGAACAGAGGUCUUCAACAGGUGCCAAGCAGCUCACCUGGCCACAAGGGCAAGAGAGCCCAGGCAGCUAAAGACAAUAGCAAUGGGAAGGAAGCAGGUGUAAAGGUCCCAGAUGGUCAGGAAAGCGACUUCAAUCUAGACAGAGGUUCCUGUGUGUGGGAGGGUCUGAGGGUAGCCCACCUACCCUAUCUAUCUAGUCUCACCCUUCCCAUGUUCCUCAAACAAAUGCACAUCCCCCCACUCAAAGGAAGCCCCCCUCGACUGUGGCCUCCCUCAUAUCACACAAGCCCAGCCGUGCAAGAUCAGCUGCUUCCCAUCGCACCUCUGACCUCCAAGCCUUAGAUUCCUCACACGUAAAAAGACUCAGGGCUGAAGAGAUGGCUCAGCAGUUAAGAGCACAUACUUGCCAGGUGGUGGCACACACCUUUAGUCCCAGCACUCGGGAGGCAGAGGCAAGAGGCUCUCUUAUGAGUUUGAGGCCAGCCUGGUCAGGGCUACACAGAGAAACCCUGUCUCAAAAGCCAACCAACUAACCAAAAUACUCCUCUUCUAAAAAGCCGGAGUUGGAUUCCCAGUACACACACUGGGUGGCUCCCAACCAUCUCUAACUGAAGUUCCGGGAGAAUCUGACAGCUCUGUAGGCACCUGUACUUAUGGACACACACCCACACACUCAUAAUUAAAAGGAAAAAAAUAUCGACACUGAGAAUUCUCAGUGCGGAGUGUCUCCUAUGCCUGUAGGCUUCCCCACCAAGUCAGGGCCAGGGUUUCCCAACCCCUGUCAUACUCUCACCUCUUAUUCAUUCCACUGUCAAAGAAACUAAGGGCUUUGGUGACAUGAUUUUUCUUGUCACUAGAACAACCUGUAGCAAGGAUCCAUCAGAGAAUCAAGGUUGAAGUUCUCCAAGAAAAUGCCUCAGCCAGCCUUAAGCAAAUCCCUCCCUUCAGGCUUGGGUUGUGCCCCUCCCUGGACACCAGGAACUGUGCCAAUUUGCUUGCCAAGUCCAGGCUGCCAGUCUCAGAGAAAUCACACCCCAAAGCUCUGCAACCUCCCUUGCCCCCCAAAGAAAAGCCUUUAGCACCUUCGUGAGGCAAAAGCAUUGCUUAAGAGCAAGGGUGAAGACACAGGGCGAUGCUGAUAACAGUCGGCAAAGGGGAGGAAGAGGGGGGCUGACAGAUGUUCUUCAUAGCCAGAUUCCUUUUCCACCAUCUUCAAAGAGUCUGCUCAAUCGGCAGGGGGCCUGGAGAUCCCUGGGAUACCAACUCCACACUGGGACCUAGAACCCAAAACAAAGCGCAGCCCCCACCCCCAACCCAACCCAGAGAUCACAACUCCCCCGUCAGAACAUUACCAGCUCCACCAGCAUCUGCAUCACCUCCUUGUUCACAAGGUUCUUGGAGUAGUCCACCAGAAUAUGCCCAUGGUUGGUGUUGAGGUUCAAGCUGCAGAAAGAUGGAGACGCUGCUGGUCACACCCCAGCGGCAGUGCCUGGCUACAAAGGCUGACCUGUAGCAGUGUUAAGUAGUGUAGGAAGCCAUGCCACAGAAAGAAGAUGUAGACAGAUCCUGGGCAGAACUUCCCCCUUCAAGCUCCACAUCUCAAACUUACAAGGGAACACCCAGGGAGAGGUAUCAGGGACGUCCAGUGAGGAACCACAGGUGGUCAUCCCAGGUCCCUCGCCUCCUGGCAUCAGUGACAAGGCACGGAGAUGCAUCACAUGUACGAUUUCUUCCACCCUCCCUUCUAUUUCGCAGUCGCUCACAAGUCUCUCUGGCCUCUGCAUCCUGCCUCCGCCGCUCUAUUUUUACACCGUGGCUCCCAGGAAAUCUCAGCCUUACCUACCCUGUCUGACCAAAGCCCACUAGGAGCAGGUGGGAGGGGACAGCUCUCUCGUGCCUGUCGAGCCAGCAGCGGCUGCUCCUCCUCAUGGGUGGUUAGAAAUCCCUACUCCAAUGGCUGAGACUGAGAGGCGGGGGCGAAGGGAUCCCCAAGGAGGAGCCGAUUCCUCCUAAUGACUAAGCAGCCUCGGCCCUCUGGCUAGCACGCGGGUCCCAAAACCCACUCCAAGGAGGCAUCAAGGACAAAGUGCGGCCCCGGCCUGGGCCCUGCAGGGCUGCUGGGGGGGGGGGGGGGUCACGGGAGCCCCGACCCCGUGCGUGCACCUGAAGUUGUUGAAGCGCUCCGGAUCCGCCUCAAAAAGUUCGCGCAGCUUGAGGUUGGCAGAGUUCGCGCGGUGCCACUCCAGCAGCUUCUGGAACUGCGGGUUCCGGGUGAGCGCAGCCAUGGCGAGGGACCCGAGAGGUACAC
rnacentral:lncRNA from 1 species